CUGCCUGUGUCUGACUGACCGAAUCUCUGUCUGUCUGACUUUCUGUCUCUCUCCUCUCUGUAACUCGCCGUAGGUGGACUUUCCCACUUCGUCCUUCGAAGUCUUGUUUACAACUCCCCCUCCUGCAGACUUUUGUCCUCAAUAUGACUUCUCCAGACUGGACAGCGCCACCCAGCUCCGGCUGCAGGAUGUCCUGCACAAGAAGUCCGUCUUCUGGUUGACUGCAGAGGACAAGCGCCUCUUGUGGGAGAAGAAAGCUUUCUGUCAGAAGGAAAGUGCAGCUCUGCCUCUGGUUCUGGCCAGCGCCCCCUGCUGGGAGUGGACUUGUCUACCUGAGAUCUAUGCCCUGCUCAGACAGUGGGCGUGCCUUGGUCAUCUGGACGCCCUAGGACUCCUACACGCGUCGUUCCCUGACCAGGAGCUGAGGAGGACAGCUGUCAAGUGGAUGGACUCCAUUUCUGACUUGGAGCUGCUGGACUUCCUGCCUCAGUUGGUCCAGGCUCUGAAGUACGAGUGUU